rnacentral:snoRNA from 1 species
GGUGCAAAAAAAACCCCUUAUUUGCAACCGAGAACUCAUCGUUCAGUAUGAGUUUUGAUACAUAUAAGAAGGAACAUU